rnacentral:tRNA from 1 species
GGGCGUUUAGCUCAGUUGGUAUAGAGUACCUGCCUUACAAGCAGGAUGUCGUAGGUUCGAUCCCUACAACGCCCA